rnacentral:lncRNA from 1 species
GAAACGCUUCCCCGGGCUACAAAUAUGCAUAUCAAGUGAAGGCCAAGAACAUCCACUUCUCUAUCUCCGAUCUUAUUUCCACAGCGGUGAAAAUUGAGAGAGAUAAUCACCCAAAAGGAAAUGAAGAAAGCUUCAGUGACGAUGCUCAUCUCUUUUAUGUCUGCUCUCUUGGUUGUUUCUCACUGUAAGUAAAGCCUAUAUCUACAUCUUCUAUGAACAAAGAUUACAGUAUUUUUGAAGAAAUUAAACACGACUUGUUCUUUUGUUUUUUGACAUGCAGAUGGAGUGGAAGUGGAAGCAAGGGGGCCAAUAGCAGCAUGCAGCUGCAAUACGGACGCCGAUUGCCCCCUGGCGAUAGGAUGCUUAGCAUGCACCGAACCAAAUAUAUGCAGGUGUAUCAACAAUAUGUGUUUUCUUGUAGUUAAGAAGAAGACCCAGCACUCAACUUAAAGCUGCAUAAGCGUCUAAUCCUAUGUUUCGCAAUUAAUAUUCAUACCCUUGAUUGAAUAAAUCUUCUCUUUCUAGUCACAUGUUUUUCUGCUAGGUGUUCUCGAGCGGAGGGGGAGCUAUACAUAUAACUUUUUUUAGGGGUAAAAUCUACCAUUAUAA